AUGGCUAAAUGUGAAAUGUGCCCCGCCUGCUGAUGUCUGUAGUGUGGGGCAGAUGUUACAGACGUGAUACAGCUGUGGUGGGUGGGCAAGGAGAGUACUUACUUUGUCAGGCAUUGUAGUUGGCUUUGUUGACGGUCAUCAUCCCAUUCAGCGCUCCAACAAUACCACAAGGUGGUGGUAUGACCCGCAUUUUGUGGAUCGGGAUACGGAGGCCGGAGGGCAUCUGAUUCCAGGCCCUUGCUUAUUUCACAGAUCCACCAGAGCAUUUAGAUUGAUGCCAAUUACUAACCCAGAGCCUGGAGACCCAAAGAAACUGCCUUUCCUAAGAACCUCCCUGAGUCUGUGGGUGCCUAUCCAGACCCUCGCUUAAGGAGCCUUCCUGCUUUCUUCACGGAGAGUUCCAGGGCUUCAGAGGCUUGAAGCUGCGUGUAAAAGUGUGUUUAUACCGUUUUCUUGGGAGAGGAUCCAGAGGUGACAUCAGGCUCUCAAACACAAAAACGGUGAAACCCAAAAAGUGGGGGGGGGGGCUCCAUUUUGUGUUCUCUCCAGUGGUUCCCCAACUUUUUUUCUUACCUCAGAGGCAUAUAGAAUUCUCAAAAGAAUAUGAGGAUGUAAAAUUCUGCAAAGUAAGCCCAUUAAAAAGAAACUAACCACUA